rnacentral:rRNA from 1 species
UGGGGAAUAUUGGACAAUGGGCGCAAGCCUGAUCCAGCCAUGCCGCGUGAGUGAUGAAGGCCUUAGGGUUGUAAAGCUCUUUUAGCGGGGAAGAUAAUGACGGUACCCGCAGAAAAAGCCCCGGCUAACUUCGUGCCAGCAGCCGCGGUAAUACGAAGGGGGCUAGCGUUGCUCGGAAUUACUGGGCGUAAAGCGCACGUAGGCGGACUCUUAAGUCGGUGGUGAAAUCCUGGAGCUCAACUCCAGAACUGCCUUCGAUACUGGGAGUCUUGAGUUCGGGAGAGGUGAGUGGAACUGCGAGUGUAGAGGUGAAAUUCGUAGAUAUUCGCAAGAACACCAGUGGCGAAGGCGGCUCACUGACCCGAUACUGACGCUGAGGUGCGAAAGCGUGGGGAGCAAACA